rnacentral:rRNA from 1 species
UACGGAGGGGGCUAGCGUUGUUCGGAAUUACUGGGCGUAAAGCGUACGUAGGCGGCUUUGUAAGUUAGAGGUGAAAGCCCGGGGCUCAACUCCGGAAUUGCCUUUAAGACUGCAUCGCUUGAAUCAUGGAGAGGUGAGUGGAAUUCCGAGUGUAGAGGUGAAAUUCGUAGAUAUUCGGAAGAACACCUGUGGCGAAGGCGACCCCCUGGUUGGAUACUGACGCUGAGACGCGAAAGCGUGGGGAGCAAACAGG